UACGUAGGGUGCAAGCGUUGUCCGGAAUCAUUGGGCGUAAAGAGCGUGUAGGCGGUCCGGUAAGUCGGCUGUGAAAGUCCAAGGCUCAACCUUGGGAUGCCGGUCGAUACUGCCGGACUAGAGUCCGGAAGAGGCGAGUGGAAUUCCCGGUGUAGCGGUGAAAUGCGCAGAUAUCGGGAGGAACACCUAUGGCGAAGGCAGCUCGCUGGGACGUUACCUGACGCUGAGACGCGAAAGCGUGGGGAGCAAACAGG
rnacentral:rRNA from 1 species